AUUGCCCGCUGCAGUUCUCGGAGAGUUGUUCAGUUUGCAGCCGAACAUGCAACAUCGAGAAGACCAGCAAGGGGACCCUCAGCAUCACAUAGACAUGCCCUCACUGUGAGCAUUCCUAUAAAUGGAACAGGGUGAACACUAGAAUCAGGGGCCAGGAGCUGAUCUACACUGCCAUGCCCAUCAAUGGGGCACUGGCAAGACCUCACCUCCAGCCUCAUCUCUAUUUCUACAGAUGAAGAGGACUGUAGAUGCUUUUGCCAGAUGCCAGCCUCUGUCGUUUGAUGGGGAGACCAUAAUUAGGACCUGAGCAUGCAUCAGGACUAACUGGCAUGAUGACUCCUUGUUGUCCCCAGUCCACCUGGCCGUG
rnacentral:lncRNA from 1 species